rnacentral:rRNA from 1 species
AUGAACGCUGGCGGCGUGCCUAAUACAUGCAAGUCGAGCGAACGGACGAGAAGCUUGCUUCUCUGAUGUUAGCGGCGGACGGGUGAGUAACACGUGGAUAACCUACCUAUAAGACUGGGAUAACUUCGGGAAACCGGAGCUAAUACCGGAUGAUAUUUUGAACCGCAUGGUUCAAAAGUGAAAGACGGUCUUGCUGUCACUUAUAGAUGGAUCCGCGCUGCAUUAGCUAGUUGGUAGGGUAACGGCUUACCAAGGCAACGAUGCAUAGCCGACCUGAGAGGGUGAUCGGCCACACUGGAACUGAGACACGGUCCAGACUCCUACGGGAGGCAGCAGUAGGGAAUCUUCCGCAAUGGGCGAAAGCCUGACGGAGCAACGCCGAGUGUGUGAUGAAGGUCUUCGGAUCGUAAAACUCUGUUAUUAGGGAAGAACAGAUGUGUAAGUAACUGUGCACUUAUUGACGGUACCUAAUCAAAAAGCAACGGCUAACUACGUG